rnacentral:tmRNA from 1 species
CAUGGCUUCGACGGGGAGGGCUGUUUCAGAGUUGCAAGCCGUGGAGUCUGACCACGUUAAAACAGGCAACUGAUAGAUGCGAACACUCGCACCAACCUCGCCGCUCUUCCAGUCGCCGCGUAAGCGUUGACUGAAUUAGCGACCAGGUUCGCGACCUAGCGUUGCGACGUCCACGCGCGUUCUCCCCCGAAGGACGCGCGGCGGGCGACACCAAGUCGGGGUGCGGCGAUUGCCACGCCGGUAACAAUCGUCCAAGCGGGGUAACACCCAACACGGCUGGCGCGCUCAACUUUGUCGGUUGAGUCCGGGCGCGUGAAAUCAAAGACCGACUACGCUUGUAGUAACUCUGGGGCGAACUUUUCGGACGCGGGU